CCAUUUUCUCCUGUGGUCUGAUGAUUCAGAGUUCAGCACGAAAGUUGGAGGUUAGAAGGUGUGAUGAAUCACAACGUGAGACAGAAAUAAACUAAAAUAAUUAAAGCUAAAGAGAAAUGUGCUUCUCCUAUCCUAAGCCACAAUGGUGAGGCACCACCAACCUCUUCGCUUUCUCUCCAGAUGAAGCCGACGAAGCGAUGCUGUCCAACGUUGCUCCAGUGCUGUUGCUUUCCUUGCCAUCUUCAUCUGCUUCAUGGUCCCCAUUGCUGUCACCACAGGUCGCCGAGCUCGUUUUGCCGAUUUCCAAUUCAUCUCCACCGCCGGACGCCAAUGUUGAUGUCUCUCCCGAUGAACCCACGCCGACCGUUUGGCUCUUUGGCAGCUGUUUCUCUUCACGUUGCUGCGGCUGAUUUAAUCCUCUCCUAGGUGGUUCGUCUACCGGAGGGAAGUGAAUAUAGCAUAACGGAGUGAGCCUCGUUGGUCAGUCUCUCCAUCUCGCGCGCCAAAGUAGACAUGAAGACCAAAAGCUUUUUUUUUUUGCCGACAAGCCAAUUUAUGCUGUCAAAUGAUUAAAUUGCUGCAAAUGCUAAGACACGCCCAGAAACUUCUCGUCCAGGGCAUGGACAGUUCCAUUACUUGAAGAACGAACGCACAACCGUCAAGACUGUUAACGGUUAUUGAACCACACAGACACACAAUCACUCCUUAUAUUAAAAGCUGUCCCAUUUAGAAGCUAAUUUAUUUGAAUAAAUGAAAAAUACUAUCUCUUACCUUUCUCCUUUGCAUGACUCUCCUCCUAAAAAGUAAAAAGUACUUGUAAGCAAAUGAAAUAAGAAUAAACGAAUUAAAAAUAAA